AAAAGGCAGAAACUUUUGGAAGAUAUUUUGUGAAGAAGGUAAGUGUAUAUUCUGAUGAAUGCCCAUGUUGUAUAGGAUUUUGAAUUUCCGUUGAGAAAGGGAAUUACAUCAAGCAAUUCAACUCUGUUGUAUGUUCUUUAAAAACAUGGAACUUGUAACCAAAUAACAGUAGUAUCUGGUUCGGUUCCGAUUCAUUUGUUUUAAGCAAUACACUUCUCUCUGA